rnacentral:tRNA from 1 species
GCGGGGUUAGCUCAGCUGGUAGAGCAUCAGCCUUCCAAGCUGGAUGUCGCGGGUUCGAAUCCCGUACCCCGCU